rnacentral:rRNA from 1 species
UACAGAGGUCCCGAGCGUUGUUCGGAUUCACUGGGCGUAAAGGGUGCGUAGGUGGCAUGGUAAGUUUGAUGUGAAAGCUCAGGGCUUAACCCUGAAAUGGCAUUGAAUACUACUGUGCUGGAGGCUUGGAGGGGGGACUGGAAUUCUUGGUGUAGCAGUGAAAUGCGUAGAUAUCAAGAGGAACACCAGUGGCGAAGGCGAGUCCCUGGACAACACCUGACACUGAGGCACGAAAGCUAGGGGAGCAAACAGG